GAGAGGGAGAGAAAUUCUGGGUCUAGAAAUUUUGAGCUUCUCUGUCUUCUCCAUCGGUCUUCCUCAUCCUUCCUUCUCCAAUGUUCUUCCCGUGUCACCGGCGAUCGUGGAUGCUCAGCACUGCCUUGCAAAAAUGCCCAGUGUGUCUCUGUAGGUGCUGCCAUUAGCGAGUCCUUCUUCAUGCUCUCUGCCUCUGUUCCUUUUUUUUUCGUGCUGCUGUUCUAUCUUGCUGUGCACAUCUGGGUCGUUGGCUAAUGGAAGAAAUCAGGUCGCUGGAGUGGGUGUACUGAUCGCCAAUCUGAAUCAGCGCUGAGUUCCUUUUUCUUCUGUGAGUGAUGCUCUAUUUUCCUUCUUUUUGGUUCAGACAAAAAUCUUAUCUUCUCUUCCUAUUCGGUUGACAGCCUCUUAGUUUCUUCCUCCUUCAUUUUGUUCGUUUGUGGUUGGGAAGUGAAGGAAGAGCUAAUAUGGUGCUGUGGAAGGAUUAAUUCGUGGGUUGAGGCAGAAAUAUUGCUAUAUUCUUCUUCCCCUGUUCAGUUGUGGAUUCAUUUUUCUUCCUCCCUCUGUGUGUGUGCACUGUCGGCUAACUAAGGAUGCUAAGAGAAAGGAGGAGUUGAUUGAAGUUCUAAGAAAUGAAUUUUGAUGCUCGGGCAUAUUAUAGGAAAAUGUUAUAUAUUCAUUUUAUCGAGGAUAAUAUACACCAUCAUCGCAUGUUGUAGGUAUUGGAGUUGUACUAUUUUUACCUUUUGAUUUAUGUUUUAUUUCGUUGAGUAAUUGUGCUUAUCAAUAAAUUUUUAUUUGUUUCUUAGCCAUGUCUAUAUUUUGGACACCAAUAAAUGAUGUUAUGCUAUUAUUUUUUUGUAGGAUAGCUUCUACUUUUUUAUAAGAAGACUCAUAGUAUCAUCAUGAUAUGUUUUAGGUAUCAAAGGUUGAGUGAUAUCUUAUAAAGUCAUCUCGCUGAGUUUUAUGCGUUAGUUUGCUUUUCAAGAAAUAUAUCAUGACUUCUUGCUGAAACAUUUUGCACCAUGGUGUUGGUAUUGAAGCUCUUCUGUAUUUUUGUUAAAUUUUA